AAUUGGGAAGAAAUUCACCACCCUCACGAAAAACCCUAGUCCGUCGCUCCACUGCUACUGAACGUCUGACAACUCCCAUUUCAAAUACACACAGCUAAUACAUUCACUAUACAUACACCUGUUAUAUAUGCUUGUAUAGGUCAAAAAAUGGCGUCAAUGGCGAUCUUCUCUCGAUCACGAACGUUAAUGAAAAUCCUAAAUCAUCAUAAUCCUCACCAUGACUUCACCAUAUUCAAACCCAUUUCCACUUUUCCGUUUCUUUCCCAGGAAGCUCAACUCGCCGAACCACCUCCGCCACCAUCUCCGUCGCAAACCACCACCAGUACCACCUCCACUGCGACGUCGCUGCCUCCUAACCCGGCCUCCGGCAGUCCGCUUUACAAUCAGAACUGGCGGAACCGUUACCCGCCAUCCCUCAGUGAGAAUUCCUCCUCCCUAAUGCCGGUGGGGAUUUUCAACCAACGGGCGGGUUCUCGAUCGCAGGCGCUAUCGCAGACCCUGGAUGUUCAAGGAUUGAUGGAUCUUUUCGCCGAUUGGAUGACGUCACAGCGUUGGAAUGACAUGAAGCAGUUGUUUGAGCUGUGGGUUAUGUCAUUAGAUAAUAAUGGGAAGCCUAAUAGGCCGGAUGUCAGUCUGUAUAAUCAUUAUUUGAGAGCUAAUUUGAUGCUUGGGGCUUCUGCUGCACAGUUGCUGGAACUUGUUUCUCAGAUGGAUGAUUUUAACAUAACUCCUAACACGGCUUCCUUCAAUUUGGUGUUGAAAUCAAUGGUCCAGGCUAGAGAGAUUGAUGCUGCCGAGAAACUGCUCGAAAGGAUGCUCCAGACAGGAAAAGAAUAUAAGGAAUCUCUGCCCGACGAUGAGUCAUACGACUUAGUUCUGGGCAUGCUUUUUGCAACGGGUCAGAUUGAUACUGCAAUGAAGUUUAUGGAUGUUGCCUUAGAUAAUGGUUAUAUGUUGGCAAUGAGCGUAUUCAAUGAAUGUGUUCUAAGCUGCCUUCAAAGGUGGAGAUUGGAUUCAUUGAUGUAUAUCAUUCAGAGAUGCAAGAAAAUGGAGCAGAACAAAGCCCUAUGUCCCAGUUGGGACUUGUGCAACCACAUUGCAGAUGUUGCAAUGCAAGCAAAUAAUAGUGAACUUGUGUUUUAUGCCUUGGAAUUCAUGGCAAGAUGGAUUCGUCGAGGACAGACUGAAAGGCCCCAAGUUCUGCUUUCUGUUGAUGAAGGACUGCUUGUGUCUGUACUUGCAACUGCUGGUAGAACAUAUAGCUCAAAGCUCCUGGAUGCUUCCUGGUCAUUCCUUAAGAGUUCAUUGCGCCAAAAAAAGAUUCCCAAUCCCGAAUCUUGCCUUGCAAAGAUAUAUGCCUAUUCUUCAUUAGGGAACUUGCCAAAGGCUUUUGGUACUCUCCGUGAAUUGGAGGCAAGUUAUAGUAGUGCUGACAAUGAAGCUCUGGAGGAUCUAUUCUCUCCAUUUACGUCUUUGAAUCCACUGGUUCUGGCAUGCUCCAACAAGGGUUUUGCAACUUUGGAUGAAGUUUAUUAUCAGUUAGAGAAUCUGAGCCAAGCCAAUCCUCCUUACAAGUCUGUCGCUGCACUUAAUUGUGUAGUUCUGGGUUGUGCCAAUAUUUGGGAUGUUGAUCGGGCAUAUCAGACUUUCAGUGCAAUUGAUGCUAGCUUUGGUUUGACCCCAGAUAUCCAUUCAUACAAUUCUCUCAUAUGUGCAUUCGGAAAACUCAAUAAGAGGGAUGAAGCUACCAAAGUAUUCGAACACUUUGUAAGUUUGGGUGUAAAAGCAAAUGCAACGACUUAUUGUCUUCUUGUUGAUGCUCAUCUUGUUAAGCGAGAUUCUAAAGCUGCUAUAUCUGUGAUACAGGACAUGGUGACUGCUGGAUAUGAACCAUCAAAAGAAAUGCUGAAAAAAAUCCGUAGGCGAUGUAUACGUGAGAUGGAUUAUGAAUCUGAUGAAAAAGUAGUGUCCUUUGCCAGCCAGUUUAAGAUUCGAAUGAACAAUGAGAGUCGCCGGAACAUGCUGUUUAAUCUAGAUUACAGUACUGAGUAUGCAUGAUGGCCAGUUACAUGGCAAUGGAAGAUCAUUUGCAUGGUGACCGGUGAGGAGCUAGACCUGGACAAUGAGUGAAGAAAAUCUUUCCCUAUUCAGGCGGUAAGACAUAGGCGGAAAAUGGAUCUCUGUUUUGAAAAACUAGUCUCUUGUGGGAUUGCAGACGAAAGGUGAAAGAACAGGCUCAUGAUUGAUUUAGAAGUGCUUGGGGAAGCUGAUGUGGUUUGCAUAGGGGUUUAAAAUUUCUACGUGUAGAAAGCUUAUUCAGAACUUCAAAAGUUGUUUAUCUAAUUUUAAUCUUUUGAGUAAGAUUUUGGUGAAUGAACCCACAGUAGGAUUUUCAGUAAGGAUGGACUGUGAGUUCAUUUUUAACUUUGUUAGAUGAGUCUUCUUACUGUGCUACUGAGAGAUUAUUUGCAGGUGCGAUUGUAGCUCAGCUGGGACAGAUCAGGAUUCUGUCUUUUUAUCUCAACUGAAGCUUGCUUGUUUAAAAGUACUGCAUUAGUGGUUGAGCAAAGGUUGCCUGUUAUACCGAUGCACGCAAGAUUGUAGUUUGCUCAAGUAAAAAUUGCUGCUCUGCUACAUAUAUUGAACAAUUGAUGUCUGCCACCACAAUUUCUUUC